UUUCUGGUGGUCCAGUGGCUAAGACUCCACACUUUCAAUGCAGGGGGCCCAGGUUCCAUCCCUGGUCAGGGAA
rnacentral:tRNA from 1 species